rnacentral:rRNA from 1 species
AUUGAACGCUGGCGGCAUGCCUUACACAUGCAAGUCGAACGGCAGCACGGGAGCUUGCUCCUGGUGGCGAGUGGCGAACGGGUGAGUAAUGCAUCGGAACGUACCCAGGAGUGGGGGAUAACUAUCCGAAAGGAUGGCUAAUACCGCAUAUUCUGUGAGCAGGAAAGCGGGGGAUCGCAAGACCUCGCGCUCUUGGAGCGGCCGAUGUCGGAUUAGCUAGUUGGUGAGGUAAAGGCUCACCAAGGCGACGAUCCGUAGCAGGUCUGAGAGGAUGAUCUGCCACACUGGGACUGAGACACGGCCCAGACUCCUACGGGAGGCAGCAGUGGGGAAUUUUGGACAAUGGGGGCAACCCUGAUCCAGCCAUGCCGCGUGAGUGAAGAAGGCCUUCGGGUUGUAAAGCUCUUUCGGCGGGGAAGAAAUGGCAACGGCUAAUAUCCGUUGUUGAUGACGGUACCCGCAUAAGAAGCACCGGCUAACUACGUGCCAGCAGCCGCCGUAA